CCAUUUGUAAUGUUCUCAAAACUGUUGAAUCUGCCGACAUCUCAUUCUCCAACGCGAGAGAUCUCGACGGCGUCGUUUCGAUUCACAAGCCAACCAUUCUCGUCUCCGAGAAACUUGGAGAGGCGGGUUUGGACCUGCUCCGUAGUCAACCAUUUGUAAUGUUCUCAAAACUAUUGAAUCUGCCGACAUCUCAUUCUCCAACGCGAGAGAUCUCGACGGCGUCGUUUCGAUUCACAAGCCAACCAUUCUCGUCUCCGAGAAACUUGGAGAGGCGGGUUUGGACCUGCUCCGUAGUUUCGGCAACGUGGAUUGUUCGUACAACUUGUCUCCUGAGGAUCUCUGCGCUAAGAUCUCUCUGUGCGACGCGCUUAUUGUACGCAGUGGGACUAAGGUGACUCGAGAAGUCUUUGAGGCUGCACAGGGACGUCUUAA
rnacentral:lncRNA from 1 species